AGUAGAGGUUCCACUUCCUAUAUAUGGAGCAGUAGAAGAAGAAAGAAGAAAGAAGAAAGGGGAGAAAGAAAGUAAUUGAUGAGGUGGGGUUGAUGAAUGAUAAUAAUAAUUAUAAGUAUAAUAUCUGUCCAUGUGAAACAACAAACCCCAUCAUCAAUCGUUUCUGAGAAAGAGCACGCAAUUCUUUGGAAUUUUAUCACUCUAUUCAACGCAAAUCACAACCUCCUGCAAUCAUCAUGUCUUCUUCUUCUUUCUUCCACCUCUCUUCAUCAUUAUUACGUAUUAUUCCUCUCUUCUUCUUCUUCUUCUUCUUCUUUUACAAUCUACCGCCACAACUACUUUCUUCUUCUUCUUUCUCUUCUAAUAUUUCAAGAACAAGAAAGAGGAAGAGAAAGAAAUAUAGGCGACUAUUAUUCGAGUCUUUAAUUCAAGAUCCGAGAUGAAGAUUAAUUAUCUUUUUGAUCUUAUCAAGAAGAAAAAACCCUACUUUUAUUUUUACUUUUUUUAUUUUUAUUUUCCAUUUCCAGUAACUCUACUACCACUAUGAAAAUGGGUUAAUUUUCUUCUUGGAAAGAUUUUACUUUGAAUCUUCUCUUCCAUCUUUAUUCUAUCUCUCUCUCUCUCGGGAAUUGAAGCAUCACGGUCCGACUGUUUCCUACAUCAACCAUAAUAUCUAUACAAGCACUUUUGAAGGUUUUAUCUCUAUGGGUUAGAUCUUUAAAUAUUGAAUGAUGGAAUCCAACUAGUAUAGCUCGAUUUGUUUUGAUAUGAGUGUUAAUUUUAAUUUUAGUUUGCUUUCAUGAAGAUACAAUCCUGAUCAGCUCUUUCUCUUUCUACUGCUGAAUACAUAUAUGUAUGUGAUUAUUAUUUUUGUAUUUGAGUUCUCUGUGUUUGUUUGUUUUGGAGACUGUAUUGGUGCAAGUUUCUGAAAGUUGCAGGAAGUGGUGGAGAUCUGAAUAAUUUCUGCUAAAUAUAUAUCAUGAGUAUGUAUGACAAUAAAUUUUUGUUCUUUGGAUGGAGUCGUAUAUAUAUAUUUCUAUUUCCAUGUUAAUUAAUGUAAACAUACAAAUCAAUCCAUUUUUGUGAAACUAUAUCAAUCAUACUUUCAGC
rnacentral:lncRNA from 1 species